rnacentral:sRNA from 18 species
UCGUCCAGGUACUGAGGCGUUCGUCUGAUUAAGACGAACGGGGAGCAACAAACCGUCGUACAGAGUGCUAAACGGGCUCCUGCAAUAACUCAACUCAGCCUCGCCAUGCUACACAGUACCUGACG